rnacentral:lncRNA from 1 species
UUCAGUACUCUGUCCCCGGGUCAGAACUCUGCUGCCUCCUGGUCUGUACCCUGUCCCCGGGUCAGAAUUCUGCUGCCUCCUGGUCUGUACCCUGUCCCCGGGUCAGAACUCCGCUGCCUCCUGGUCUGUACCCUGUCCCCGGGUCAGAACUCUGCUGCCUCCUGGUCUGUACCCUGUCCCCGGGUCAGAACUCUGCUGCCUCCUGGUCUGUACCCUGUCCCUGGGUCAGAACUCUGCUGCCUCCUGGUCUGUACCCUGUCCCCGGGUCAGAACUCCGCUGCCUCCUGGUCUGUACCCUGUCCCCGGGUCAGACCUCUGCUGCCUCCUGGUCUGUACCCUGUUCCCGGGUCAGAACUCUGUUGCCUCCUGGUCUGUACCCUGUCCCCGGGUCAGAACUCUGCUGCCUCCUGGUCUGUACCCUGUCCCCGGGUCAGAACUCCGCUGCCUCCUGGUCUGUACCCUGUCCCCGGGUCAGAACUCUGCUGCCUCCUGGUCUGUACCCUGUCCCCGGGUCAGACCUCUGCUGCCUCCUGGUCUGUACCCUGUUCCCGGGUCAGAACUCUGUUGCCUCCUGGUCUGUACCCUGUCCCCGGGUCAGAACUCUGCUGCCUCCUGGUCUGUACCCUGUCCCCGGGUCAGAACUCUGUUGCUUCCUGGUCUGUACCCUGUCCCCGGGUCAGAACUACAAAUCCCAGUUGCUAUGUCCAAAACAACAGAACUAACCCGGUGACUGGUUGCUAUGUCCAAAACAACAGAACUAACCCGGUGACUGGUUGCUAUGUCCAAAACAACAGAACCAACCCGGUGACUGGUUGCUAUGUCCAAAACAACAGAACUAACCCGGUGACUGGUUGCUAUGUCCAAAACAACAGAACUAACCCGGUGACUGGUUGCUAUGUCCAAAACAACAGAACCAACCCGGUGACUGGUUGCUAUGUCCAAAACAACAGAACUAACCCGGUGACUGGUUGCUAUGUCCAAUACAACAGAACUAACCCGGUGACUGGUUGCUACGUCCAAAACAACAGA